CCUACGGGAGGCAGCAGUGAGGAAUAUUGGUCAAUGGGCGCAAGCCUGAACCAGCCAAGUAGCGUGAGCGAUGACUGCCCUACGGGUUGUAAACUUCUUUUAUAGGGGAGUAAAGUGCGGCACGUGUGCCUUUUUCUAUGUACUUUAUGAAGACGGAUCGGCUAACUCCGUGCCAGCGGCCGCGGUAAUACGGAGGAACCGAGCGUUAUCCGGAUUUAUUGGGUUUAAAGGGAGCGUAGAUGGGUUGUUAAGUCAGUUGUGAAAGUUUGCGGCUCAACCGUAAAAUUGCAUUUGCUAAUGGCAGGCUGGAGUACAGUUGAGGCAGGCGGAAUUCGUGGUGUAGCGGUGAAAUGCUUAGAUAUCACGAAGAACUCCGAUUGCGAAGGCAGCUUACUAAAC
rnacentral:rRNA from 1 species